AUUAAUUUCUUUGGCUAUAAAUACCAAAGGAACUCUUCUUUCUGGACAUCAAGAGUUGUAAUCAAAUAUUUCAGAAUUGAGUUGAGAGUGUUUUGGCUUUCUUUUCACUUUAUGCACAAGGUGUUGAUUUGGAAUACAAUUGUUAUCACUUGUAUUUCAAUUUUGAUUUCCUAUUUCAAUUGUUCUUGGUGCUUGUUUGGAUUGGGUUCAAGGGAUAUCA
rnacentral:lncRNA from 1 species